UACAUGGGGUGCAAACGUUGCUCGGAAUUAUUGGGCGUAAAGCGCACGUAGGCGGUUUGUUAAGUCGGAUGUGAAAUCCCUCGGCUCAACUGAGGAAGUGCAUCCGAAACUGGCAGGCUUGAGUACUAAAGAGGGUCGCGGAAUUCCCGGUGUAGAGGUGAAAUUCGUAGAUAUCGGGAGGAACACCGGUGGCGAAGGCGGGUCUCUGGGCCGUAACUGACGCUGAGGAGCGAAAGCAUGGGGAGCGAACAGG
rnacentral:rRNA from 1 species